rnacentral:lncRNA from 1 species
CUAAAACUUAAGAUUCUACCCACAAAAGUGAUGAAAUUUAAAGAUUUAAUCUCACAGGAACCCCAUCAAGGAACAAAGCAGGCUAGCAAGAACAAAUCAGAAGCAAAAAUGAAAAACCUCAAAAACCCAUCAGAGUUUUUGCAGAUUUAUUGCACAGGAAGCAAAGGUUUUGAAGCGGAAGGCUCUAAGAACAAGCAAAGAUCGAACCUUUACUGAAUCGGAUGACAGAAAACAACAUGAACAGAAAAGUACUGGCGUACCUUGAAGAAAAACGUUGAGACUCGAAAACAAAAGGCGGCGAUCUCAGGUUCGGGGAACCAAACUAACAGCACCGGUGAGGUUUUCUGAUAUUUAUAAGCGGGUGGGGCCGAGCGGCGUCACGUACUUUCUUGGAGGAGCAUAGCAAGUGUCAGUCAGAGAUAGUCCUGAACUCUUUUUCCAACCGUGCUGAUCGGUCCGUGAAUAAGUCAUGCACAUGUUUGACUUUGCAACCAUGGACUUGGUCCCACUCUGUGCAUUGUUUUUUCUUUCGAUAAUCCCUGUCGUUUUCUUUUGUUCUUUCAGUGUUACAGAAUAUGGCAAUGGGACCUGGAGAGUGGAAAAUUCUUAAAAUAAUGUUCUUGACAGUUCAUAUACUAUAGAACUUUGCUUGCUUUUGAAUUUUGACAUACCCGGAUUGGAUCAGUUUUAAAAUUAUUAUCAAACUAAUUAUAAUAAAUUGAUUUGGUUUAGUUUGGUUGAACUAAAUUGCUGAUAAAGUGCAAUUAAUGUGAAUGACUUGGAUAUGUACACAAUCAUUUUUUAGUAUGAACCGAUUCCAACAUAAGACGAAUUUAAACUCAAAACUGACUUGAACGGGAGAAAAUACACACAAUCAAUAAAAAAUGAAAUUCGUGCUUCAAUAUCAGCAUAACAAUUGUUACUUAUAUUGUUAAAAAAUCCACAUAAGAUGAUUGAUCCAUUGAAAGCUACAAAGUAUGUUGAAACAAAUCCAUCAAAACAAAAGCCCUAAACAUAAGACCAAGAACACCACUUGCUUUCAUGAGGAGCUAAUAUCGUUGUUAACAACCGGAUAGACAUUGCCACUGAGGUAGAAAUCACCACCAAAUUCAAAAGUAGCGUCCUAAAUACCGCAAUACCAACCGUGUCGAUUGAUAACUCGAAAAAUAUAUUUGGAAAGAGAACAGAGAUGGAAGGUGAGGAUUGCCCAACUUAUAAGUUAUAAGCUCAUUCAAACGAGAAAAACUUGCAUACAAUAUGCCUUUGCGUAUCCAAAAUUAUGUGAAUACACAACCACAAUAUAUGAUACAUUUAAUGAUUACAUAUAAGAUUUCUCCAUCGAAAUACAUUGCGCUCUAUUCUCUAAGCCAAUGUUGAUGCCCAUAUUUCAGUCUGCUCACACUUUCACACACAUGCAUAAGUCCAAUUCCUUCACACAUUUUUAGAUGUAAAUUUGCAAUAGAUCUUGGGUAUUUUAUGAGGGUUAGAGUUUGACUUUAGAACCCUUAGAAAAAAAUUGAAAAAUCCAAUAUUUUUGUGAGCUAUAUUUGUUUGCUUGGUUGAAACUUUGACAUGGUCAAACUAGCUCAAGGCUACCGGUGAUAGAAAAACCACCGGUUGCUCAUAAGAAACUUGACUUGACAAACAAGCCUCUGUCUUGAAGAGCACGAAUGCUUAUUCCUUUUCAUCUUUUUUAAUUAAUUUACUAAUCAUUUCCUUAAUCCCGUUCACAUUAUCAUGAUACUGUGAAUAACAUUAAAAAUUGAUAUGUCUUCUGACUGUGAGCUAAUCGGGUGGAAAAUAGAGGUUGAUGAUAACAGGAAAGGUAUUGCUUUCCUUAUAUUUUAUCAGAAGAAAACACUGAUUUUGCUUCUUAAUCCCUCUAAUCAUGGUAAAGGUCAAAACACAAUAUGAAUCUCUCACGUGUUGCUUUGGCCUCAAGAAUACAGACAGAUUUUUCAAUGUGUUCAGAAUUUAAAGUGGUAUUUAACGUGUUAUUAUAUAAGUCAUGAAAUAUUUGUAUUAAAAAUUUAAAAUUUAAUCUAAAAAUAAAAAUUCCCUCUAUUAAUAUGAUAACACGUGAUGUACUACUAGUAUUUCGAAACAAUGACAAAUUUAUGCAAUAAUAUGAGAGAUUAUCAAAAUUCGGGGGCUUGGAAAUUUUAUUCAAAUAAACAGGGAAAAUGAUCAACAAAAAGAUAAAAUAAAUUACUAAAUUGAGAAAAAUGCUGGCAAUCUUUGCAUAAACUUUUGUAUUUGGACAUUUUGACUUCUUUAACUGACACUUGUUUACACAAAAAAUAAUAAUAAUAAGACCUUUAAAGUCUUUUGAAAUUAAAUCAUUUAUUUUUCAUUAUUAAUUCAUAGUCAAAAUCUUGUUUUUUGUGUAAUAAAAUAACACAUGUCAUUUAAAGAAGUAUAAAUAUCCAAAUCCAAAGGUUAGUGAAAAUGCCGGUAUCACUUCUCGAAGGGAGCAUUAUUUUCUCACCUCCAUAACUAUGGUGUAUGCUCACCAUACAUCUCAUCAUUUGAUACGUGUCAUUUCAACUAACUCUGAUUAACUUUAAUAUUAAAUGUUCCUUUUCCAAUUUUGAAAAAAAAAAAUUAACUACAGUUAAGUAAAAUGACACGUAUCAAAUGAUGUGAUAUAUGAUGAGAAUACACUAUAAUUUAGGGUAACAAGCAAAAAUACACCCCUCCCUGAAAUAUGUUGUCUGUUAAUUGAUAAUUCGUUAGUAAAUAAACAAACAAAUACAUAGCAUGGUCGACAGAAAGCCUCGGAAAUUAUGUGCAUGUCUUGAUGUGGCAUCACAUUAAGAACUUAAUAUUGGUCAAGGGUCAAUUUGUAUUAUGUUUUGUCUUUGAGCAAGUAAAAGUUCAACAACGUCAAUGUAGCCACCGAGCACAUAGGAAACGGCUCCAAAUACAAUCGGGAACUGUCAAACUCGGUUGUUCUAACUUCUAAAUUUCUAAUACAAAUCAAUGUCCGUGUAAACACAUGGAACUUGGAUACCCGCACGAGUCGAAAGAUGACCAAAGUAGGCGUUCAUAACGAACAACAUGAUCAACUGACCCUGCAUUACUAAGAAGCGAUAGAGAAUAGAUAAUCCCUUAUUUGUUAAUACAAGGCUCAUUAAAUAUAGAUCCAACUCAGUCACUCUACACAAGGGGUCAAAGAGAGGCUCAAACCCGUACUCAAGCUUUGCUUGAUUUUGACCCAACUUGGUUGAACUGCUUUUGUGCAUCAACAAAUUUAAUGUUUAUCUUUAUUAAUAAAAAAUAAUUGAUCGAACUAGAGACUUAAGGGGGGGUGUAUUCAAUUGUGAUUUUGAAGGAUUUUCAUUCUUUUAAUGAAUUUAGGAGUAUUCAAUCAGGAUUUUAAGUGAUUCUCUGAUAUUCAAGGUGUGUUCAAUUAUAAUUUUAAGAUAGUUUAUUAAAAUCUUUAGAAAUCCGGGUGUAUUCAAUUAGGAUUUUAAGAAAGUUUAUAACAUUUCAGGUGUAUUCAAUUAGAAAUUUAUGUUAAAAAUUUUGAGAAAGUUAAGGAAUUAGAGGGAAUUAGAGAGAUUUCGUAGUGUAUUUUAAGCAUCCACAAAUCUCAUCUCUUCCCAUGAGAUUUCGAGGGAAUUGAAUCAAAAUUUUAUAUGGAAUCUCUACAAAACAAUUAAAUUCCAUAAAAAUCUAUAGAUGUAUAAAUCCAUUAAAAUCUUUCAAAUUCUCAAUCCAUUGGUUCAUUUGUUUUGGGACCUUAUGAGAUGUGAAGUGAUUUGGACCUCCACAGAGACUAGAGAGAGCCGACAUGCAAUUUGCAAGACCAUGGGACCGCAUGCAGCCAGCAUCUUUCUAGCUUCUUCUCGGCGUUCUUUCUCUCAUGUCGCUUUCGUUCUCUCGUGUGAACGUGUUGGUGUACGGCACGCACACAUAAGGACAUAAGGAUAUGAGUAUGCGACAGGGACCUCCAAGACAAACCAUGAUCGUCGACUAAGCACCCUUUUGCCACCGUUAUCUCCUUGCCCUUUGUUCUCAAAUCAAAACCACAAUGGCAAGUACAAUGAACACCAUUCAAAGCCGAAGCUUUUUUUUUUUUCUUUGUUGUUGACGAUGUUGUCACUGUUCUAAAUAUCGUUAGAUAUUAAAACGCAUAAUGUAAGACCAUAUAAAUUGUAUUAAAAAACAUAGAAUGCAAUGGAUUUUCUACUCAAAUUCAUUUAUCAUAUAACAUAUUAAAAAAGAUUGGAUGAACGGGAAAAGGGUAACCAAAUCCUCCGGGGCAUAUUCCAUAAAAGUAAAAAUUGCGUUUAUUUGACGAUUAGAUUCAACUGAGACAAAUACAAAACGAAAACUACAAUGUUCAACAUUACAAUAGUUCAUCAUUAAUCAAAUUUCUAAUACGAAGUUAUGCAGUGCUAGAAGUUACCGAUAAGAAACCAGUACAUUGUCACCCAGACAGCACGGUGAUUGCAAAAUACAGCACUAUUUUUACAUCUGUAUAGAACUACAGAAGCCUAUUUGUGCAAGUCAAUUCAGUUCUAAACAGCAUGCAUUUCAAGACCUAGACGGUACCCAACAGGAGGAACUGUAGAGAAUUCUGCCCUUCCAUCCUUGCAGCAUCCAGUUUCCAUCUUCAUCAACCAUGAAAUCACGGUGGUACCCCAGUUUCACCUUGGCCCUUAAUUUGUUCAUGAGUUCACGGUUCAAUGGCAAUUGUUUGAACCCAGCCCUCAUGUUCCGAGCCUGCCACUGCUUAUAUGUCUCAGGCCUCACAACUCUCUCAGAGCCCUCGCAAGCUACUGUGUUUACAACCUCUCGUCCAAGGAACUCUUCCUCAAACAUCAAUCUCAUCUGAUCCUCACGAGAUAAAUUGGUAUCAAACAUAUCAAACAUUGCAGAGAAGUGGAAUAGAGCCUCCCUGAAGCGUGUGACGAAGAAUGGGGCAUUGUAAGAUCCAUUAAUGACACUAUGGAUAAAGAUAUCAGGAUUCAUGCUCCUAAUGAAAUUUAGAACAGUAUCCCUUGGGCUGUUUACCACAACUGUCUCGUCAAGUAGGUUUUUAAACCGGAACAGACAAUUCACAGCAAGCACUUCAUCUCUCUUGACUUUGAGUUCCUCAUAUUGGAUAGCUUCCCAUUUCUUUGCUAUGCCAUUGUACUCGAAAGGAACAUUAUACCGCUCACAAUACUUUGCCAAACGAUGCCCUGUCUCUUGGACUCUUUCUUCAGGUCGAAAACCACUUUGGGGAAGCUCUAUCCCUGUAAUGCGUAGUUUUGGAGGUCCACCAGCUCUUCUUGAGAGGCAACGAAUGAGAGCAGGCCAUUGAAAACCGUAGAGGAUUCCAAAAUCUAUAAUAUGCAGUGUUUCUGCUUUCUCAGCUAAUUUUGAAAUCAUGUGGUUUGCGAAGAUUAUCGCGACCUUCAUGAACGGGCAGGCUUCAAAAUAAGUUUGGUAAGCCUUCAGCAUAUCAGCAGCUGACGUUCUUUUAGAAGAUAGAGCAGUAUAUAUCUGAGUUCCAGUGCCAGCCAACCGUGCUUCAAGGCCAUUUGCAAAGCAAUGAGCCAACCUCUGCGAGCUAUCGCCAAAUGGGGAAGAGUGAUGCCUAAUCUGCUUUAGUAGCUCAUUAGCAGUCCUACGAUCAUCAGAAGAAACAGCUUGUGCACAUGAAAUGAGUAGAGUCCUCAAAUCUAUCACUUCCUUCUUGUCGCCCUUUUUCUUGGCACGAGUCUUUCCAUUACUGGUUCCAACAGAUUGCCCAUUCUGCUGCAGAGCCUUGUUUGCUUCAUCCAGACAGACUUCUUCACCUUCACUCACAAUAGGCUUGGGUUUCCCCUCACCACAAACAAGCACCUUAUCAAAAAUCUCCGAUAGAUCAGCCUCCGUCUCCUCAUAAACAGCUGAUUGCUUGGUACUCCUCCCAACCUCCAAAUCUGCAUCUUCCCUCUCAUGACUCUUCUUUCCUCUCGAACUAGUAGGAAAAUACUCGCCUUCAUCCUUCUCCGUCUUAACCACCACAUUUUCAGCCUUUCCAUUCGCCACUGUGUACGGCUUGUUAUUCUCAACGUUAACAAUCAGUUGACCUCUAGGAAGAAACUUACUAGCCUCCUCUACCCCUCUGUUAAACUGUAACACCAAUUCCCUCUCCCUAAACAAAUUAGAAACCAUAGGCUCACUCACAUAAGAACCCACCAAUCCAUUCCCAUUCGACGAAAACUGAGACUUGGCCUUUGACUGGAAAACAAAGUUUUCCGGAAUUGGGUUUUGCAAAAUAGAGGGCUUAUGCUCAAUAACAUCAACGCUACUCCGAGAAUCAUCCAAAUGGCUAGUACUAGAACUAAGACUAGAGCUAUUAUUUCCACUAUGAUCACUAAAGGUUGCAGAAGAACGACCAUCAGGGCUCUCAAAAUUAAGCGGAUGCUGAUUCGGAGAAGGCGGAAACUUCCCACCAAGAACCUCAAAGAGAGAUUUCUCAGCGGCUUGGACAGCCAAAGGGUCAUGAAACAUACAGGGCUUUGUCUCCAUAUCCUCCUCCAUUAACACCUGGUUUAUGUACCUGAGCACACUGUCAGAGUAGUCACUGUCAUCUCCCUCGGGGCUCAAGCUCGGAGACAGAGCAGAGUUGCUAGGGUUUUGGCCCAGAAAGCUAAGAUCCACAAAGGGAUCGCUGCUUGGGUACUCAUUGAAAUUGGGGGAAAGUGUCUGGUCGAUGAAAUUGGAAUUGGAAUCGGGCAGUUGAUAAGAACUUGGAUCCAUAGCAAUCAAAUUUUAAGAAUAUUGACGAUAACCCAGUUCGAGUUUGGUGAAAAUUGAGGAAAUUAAGACUGAAAGAUUGAAACUUUGGGAUUUGAGGUGAAGAAUCUGCUUACCUGAGAGAGAACAGAGAAACCUCAAUCCACUACUGGGUUGAGGUGUCACCGGAUAAACGAGUGGUGGAGGAGAGACGAAGGCCAAAGUGGGGAGAACGGGCGGAGGGUGUGGAAGUCAAGAAGCGGGAGACGCCACACAGCGUGGCUUCAUGGCGUUUUUGUUGCAGCUCAAGCAAUUGGUAAAGCUGUGGAAGCGUUAAGUUGACCAAUGGUUUUUAACGUUGUGGUACCUUUUUCUCAUCAUUUUUUUCAAUGGAAAAGAGAAGGGCCGAUGAUAUCAAGUGGUUUUAUUUUUAGGAAAAUUAAUGAAAAAAAUUUGAAAAUUUUGAGUUUUAACGAUAAGGAUAAAAUAAAGGACAAAAUAAAUAGUAUCAUGACGGACUAUUUAAUAUAAAAAUAUAUUUUUUUUUUUAAAUGAACAAUACCAAAAGUUUUUCAUUAAGGUUUUUUUUUUUUUUUUUAUGGUUAUGAAUUAAACCCCAAAGGGUUGAUGGAGUACCAAGCAAGCAAAAGUUUUGAACUCUGAACUUAAGUUUGAAUUAUUUGGCUAACCACUUUUACUUUGACAUACCAUUAAUUUAACCGAAUGUGGUAUUGAUAUUGCAUAUAAAAAGAAAUUAGACUGUCACCGACUUAUAUUAAAUAAAAUACUACUUUAAAAAAAUAUUAAACAAAACGAAGAAAUUUUUAGUUGUUUAUUUAUUUAUUUAAGAUUUAAAUUCAUGAUCUCCUAGUAAAUGAGAGACUAAAUAUUUUUAGGACUUAAUUACAUGUAUACCCCGCUUCAUGCCAAGAAGGCCCUUGUCACUAUUAUAUCAGAUCGAAACCUCCGAUUGAAGGUUUAAACAAGCUAAACUUUGAUAGCUCCAUCAUUCGACAUAAUCAUAUUGCGUCCAGUUACAAUUUCAGUUUAAACCUCUUGUGUUGAACGAUCAUAAGUUUUAUAGUACGUGAUUUUUGGAUACACAGAUUUACUUUUAAUAGAAAUAUUAGCUCUUUGAGUCUAUCCAUUUUAAACCAACAGUAUAUUAGUAGAUCUAGAAAACUGCAGGCCAAAGUUUAAUCGUGCCAAAGGUUUAUACAAGGAAGUUUUAACAAAAAGUCAGCAGUACUGUUAACUUUAUCGAAAAACUAUAUUUUUACACUAAAAAGUCAAACUUAAUACUAUUCAUUUUACCUUUUAUUUUGUCCUUAUUAUUAAAACUCAAAAUUUUUAAGUCAUUUUCAUUAGUUUUCCUUUUAUAUAAAGUGUAUAUUAAAUGUGAUUGUUAAGGUUUGAUUUGACUCCCUAUGUGUAGAAAUCUCAUCCUCUAGAAAAUGAAAAUGUUGAUUCGGAACAUCUUGCACAUUGUUAGAAGUUUAUUAGUCCAUCCAUUUUAAACAUAUCCACCGUGAAACCAACUUCAUAGCAGACACCUCAUGUGUUCGUAAAUUCAAUGUUUUCGUGUGCAUCUAACACUCUUAUUUUUAAUCGGUUUACAUAAAAAGAAUUUUACAUACUUAUAUAAAGUAGUAACACCAGAUCAGCAUGUCAUGUAAUGGUACGACAUACACAAUACUUUUUCCAGAUACCAUAAUCUCUAGUGGAGACCUCUUGCCCCUGUUGUGAUCAUAUCACAUGAUCAGUUUUUUUUUUUUUUUUUCUCUAUAUCUCCUAGAUUUUGCUUGCCAUGUAUGUGCUAAUAUGUGUCGAAAAUUGAGCGAAUCACAUCAGAUAUUCUUUAUCCGAUCAUCCAACAAAACGAUGGAUUGUAUGUUACUAAGCUUCAUUUAAAUAGUAAUUUUAACCUAAAAUUAAUUGUGGGUCGGUCCAAGGCAAUGGAUUUAAAAAGAAACAAUGACGAUAAGGAUAAAUUUGAUACUUGUGUGGUCUGAGGUUUGAUUGCAUGCGCGUUGAGCUAUAUCGUCUGUCAAAACAAACAAACAAUAUAAUUAAAAUAUGAAAUGUUUGAGUAUCAACUGUGACUUUUUCCAACUAGUUAAACUACCACGAAUUAACCCUAUAAUGCGUGUGUAUAAUUGGUGAUCAAGAAUUAGUUUAGCUUAUCUUAAUGGAUCGAGUUUUAUCUUUUGUACCAUAAUUUUCUGUUUAAUAUUUGACUUGGGAUUCAAUAAUAUAACUCGUACAAAAGUUUUAUUGUUUCAGACUCAGUGAAUAAUUAUUAGAAAUGUUCCAGUGGUCACCUAGGAAUUAAUCAUGGAAUAUCAAACGUUAAGACUGAUGGGUUUCAUUUUUAAUGUUUUAAUGUCCACUCAUGAUACCAAAUUUGACGGUGAAAGAUGAUCAUAAAUAUUUAACUACUACCAAAUUUGACAGUGAAAGAUCAUAAAUAUUUAAUCACUAGAUGACCGUAUAAACAAGACAAAUAAAUAUACAGAUAUUUCUUAACUUACCAGUCAAGCGUUCUUGGUUAGUAUUUGUAUAUUCAAGGUUCAAACUUUGAAGCCUGCUUGGAUUCAAACUUAGAACGUACAAGUACAUUGAGAUGGAGAUAGUCAAUCAGUGGAGAAUCUUGAAGUAACUUCGUCCCAUGUGUAGUGUGCACCAGAAACAGAAGGAUAUUGUAAACAAAAAAGCAACCAAAGAUCUCAAAGCUGUCGUAUGAUUUUACUAGGGAGGCUUGGUUGGCAAGUCAUGUAUAUAUAAGAUCAACGUGCAUGCAUCAUCAGUAUCAUCUCAUGGUGGGUUAGGUUUGCAUGUGUGAGAGUUGAUCACAAGCCCCUUAUUUCCCUUUUCUCAAAAUUGAAAUGAGAAAAAAAUGAUAUGCAUGCAUGCAUACUGGUUUGGAGAGGUGACAAUCUCCGACACGCACGAUGCUUCACGAAUUACAAAAAAAGGCAUUUUUAUAUAAAUUCAUUACAUGCCCAAAAUGUCGGAAAUAGUUUGAGUCAAUUUCUCUUUGGGGUUUAGGGUUCAAGGUCCAUUUGCCUUUGAUUUACGUCCUAAUGUUGUAUUCCCAAUUAAAAGCAUUGAGUUUUUUUCAAUUAAGGUUUUAUUUUUCUGUAAUGUUUUCUGAGGGCUAUGUGCUCACGGGUUUGGUUUGUGUCGACACAAACAAAAUUAGAGUCCAUCUAAAUACAACACGAUUAUUAUUUGAUUUUUUAGUCAAAUGGUCAUUGAGAUUGGUAUAAUUCUUCAUUUUGGUUUCAGAGAUUUGAAAUCAAUAGAAAUGGUCCAUGAGUUUGUUUACCAUCAAUCAUUUUUCCUUGCGUUAAAAAUUAUGUUAAAUAAGAAUCAAAAUGAUAAAAAUACCCCUCAUUAAUAAACAAUGGGCCAAAAUGAUUGACAAAAGUUCAAGGUAUUCAUGAACUGACCAAAAUGAUUGACGGUGGACAAACGUAAAGACCACUUCUAUUAAUUUCAAAUCUCAGGGACUAAAAUGAAGAGAUGUUAAUCUCAAAGAUCAUUUUGACUAAAAAAACCCUCAUUAUUUUGGUCAUUUUGUCCAAACUCAAGCAAAACGUGAUAAUUAAAUGUGGUUACACAUAAUGACACGAUUACUGUUUUUUUAAUGUUCAUAACUAAAAAUAAAGCGUGAAAUAUAAUCUUUACAUCAAACAAAAAGGUUAAACUUGUUAUUUCAUUUUCAAUUUAAAUGGAUUACCUCAUGUGAUACAGCUUAUGAGGUUCAUGAGAAAAUAAGUGUGUUAAAGUGUGUUAUUUUCCAGUUUGGCGUGUUAAAACCUAAAACACGAACUAAUUAUUAACUUGAAUAAGUUGGCAUGAUUAAGGCCAACUCAAUCAACCCUAUUUACUUCGCGUCGCCUCACUCAUGUCUAAAUUCAUUAUUGUGAAAUUCACUUACUUUGUCACUAUAAGUUAUGAAUAUUACUUUGUUCAAUUUCAUUUAAUUUAUAUUCUCAAUACAAAUUCAAAUUUUACUACACAACACAAUACAACAUCCUACCCAAUUGCCCCUUAUUUUGAAGGACAAUGCAAACAAAAAUGUAAAUAUAAAAUGGGAUUGAUCCAAUCUUUCUAGGACCCUAUUUUGUAUGUAUCUUCCCAAUUCCUCUUUUGUCAUUUUCAUUUCCCAAAAGCAGGCCUACGAUUUUUAUUCAAACAUAUACUUUACACAUAGCCCAGUGGCCACUAGUAGUUAUAUUAUGGGGAACUUUAACGAAAAGCACCCGGUACUGUUCAUUUUAACGAAAAACCACAUUUUUACACUAAAAAGUCAAUCCUGGUACUAUUUACUUUACCCUUUAUUUUGUCCUUAUCAUUAAAACUCAAAGUUUUCAAGCCAUUUUCAUUAGUUUUCCUUAUAUUAUGUUUAUCCAUUGAAUGUAAGCUCUUGGUGCUGGUGUCACUAUUAGCAGCUUUGUCUUUUUUCAGUAACAUUUUGGGACCUCAUCAUUUCUAGUCCAUUCCUUUUCCUUCUUUUGAAGGUUUCUCUCUGCGUUCAUACUACCAAAUAGUCAAAAAGAUUAGUAGUGCUCCUCAAGAAAUCAAACAAAAUGCAACAAGUCCAAUGUAUCUUUGGAUUUAAUUGUGUGUAUUUGAGAAAAACUUUUACAAUCCCAUGUUCUUUCUUAUAUUUGUACGACUAUCUAUACCAUGUGUAUUAUCGUUUUCACUUCAAAUUAGGCACGAGGCGGUUUUAUUUUCCAUCUCUUAGAAAAGUAGUCUCAAUUAUAUAUAAUGAGAUCAAACAACUAAAGCUUUUUCUAUCGUCAAAUUGUUCUAUCACAUUGUUGUGUCCAAACAAAAUGUUAAUUUUGAUCUCUUUUCUGAAAAAUUCAAAAAAUUCGGAAAACCGAUGUCUUUUUCUAAAUCAUAAACCCUAAACUCUUGAGGGGAAAAAAAAAGAACGGGAAAUUGCGCACUAAUUGAAUGGACCCUUGGGCUUGAUACUUUUUCUACAAGGUCAAAGAAGCCUUAACCCUUGAGGUGAAGUCCCUUGUUGCUUUGUAUCCAGCCGAUUCUAUCAUACAUAAAGCAAGCCCAGGCCACUUGGGUAUCCUGAGGCCUAAUAUUUAUAAGCCCUUUACAGAAAUGUGCACAAAUUGACUGCUCAAAUUAUGGUUUGGUUUUGCAAAUGCGAGUUAUGACAGUUGACCAAGAAGCGUGCCUACCACUUUGUCGAUUUGAGGUAACUCUUUGACAAUUUUUUGAAUGAAAAUGCCGAUUGGGUUCAAUGCGAACCUAGUAAGACCCAUCAUGCCUUGCAUGACCUACUUCACUCCACAAUCAACUUUUGCAACUCAGUUCGUUUUGUGAACAACCGACCUCCCUUUCUACAUUGUGGAACUAGCCUUCAUGGUGAUGGCUAUCCCAUAAGGGUCGGUACGAACAUGCUAUGACCCGUAUCAGACAGACAAUCAUGUCUCGCCACAUGUUUUCCUCAAACUUUUUUGUUCGUUUUGUUUUUAAGUUUUAAGAAAACCAAAAACCUAAAGUCAUUAUUCGCCUUUUAUAGCAAGGGAUAGUCAUAUUCCCACCCAUACAUCUUUUGUGGUUCUCUUGUAAAUGAGAAUUGUGGCACAAAGAGACAACCCCAUUAAUAUUGACCACAAAUCCACUCCUAUUUAUACAAUCCAUGUAGAAUUAGUACACUUUACACGAAAGAGAUAGAUAUAUAGAUAUAGAGAGGUAUGGACGUAAUAAAUGGCAAUUUGGCAAAAUUGUGGGGAGGUGGGACCAUCACAAUUUUUCCAACAUUGUUGGUUUUGAAUGACAUACGUGUGAAGUAACAGACUUCAACAACUUGGAGGAGGAUCAAGUAUAUAUCAACUCAAUUAUUCACAUGCCCUUGGCAUAUUCUCGUAUUCUUCUUCCCUACUUUGCCUCAAUCUGUCAAGUUCGUUAUUCUAUCUUUAGCAAGGUUUUAAAAUGUGCUAGGCAUUAGUCGGGUAACAGGUAGGGGUCUAGGUGAUUUUUUAUUUCAUAUUAAAGUGUUAGAAUAUAUUGAAAAUUUUGAGAACAAACAUAUAAAAAAAUUUCAUUCAAAUAUUCAAAAAGUCUCUACAAUUUAUUGAAAAAUAAAAUGCAAAAUGAAAGUUAUCUAUUUUCUAUCUAAGUGAGAGUCGUGGCCUAGGCAGGUAUAGGCGGCACCUAGGCAGGUAUAGACGGUGCCUAAACAGGUCCAGACACUCUUUAUUAAUUUUCAAACACUUAAGGAUUAAUCUGAGUGAUGGCCAGCCAUCUAGAUUGUGACCAAGACGGGACUUAGGCGGAAAUUUUUAGAGCAGUGGUCUUUUUUAGGUUUCUACUUUCUACUAGGAAAACUAGACACCACCCAUACUUGUUUGUUUAUAGGCUUAAUUUAUGUCACUAUCUCCUAUAUAUAUUUGAAUCUUGUAGCGACUUUGAUGGUAAAUUGUGACUACUUGUAAGUUAAUUAAUCAUCGAAAAUUUAUAGUGUUGUUUGUCCCAAAAGCAAAUUUAAUAAACAAAGCUUAUGUUGUAUAAAGUCAUCUGAAAGUCGCUUUGACGCACUUUGCCUUUGAACUCACUUUAUGCUCCCAACUUUGCCUUUCAUCAUCAAGUGUGUCAAAAAAUCAGUUAAAAGUAAUCGACUCAAUUUUUCCACAAUUCAAUUGGGGACUAAAAUUACUAAAACAUCAACUAAUUACUAGUAUCAUAAUUUAGUGGUAUUUUUCUUCACGUGUAAAUGCGAGAUCUUAUGUUCUACUUGCACAGCUAGGAUGUACAAUAUUGUGUUGAGUUCAAUGUCUGGUUAUGCCUAGCUCUAAGCUAAUUUUUUUUUUAAAUAGAGUAUUAUUGCAUAAAAUAGAAAAACUUCAAAAAAAUGAUUAAUAUUGAUGGAAGGGUGUGGGAUUCUGAUUUUAUUUUGGUACCCUAAAGGCUAAAGGGGUCCAUAUAUUCGUCACAAUUCACUUGCACAACCCCCCACGGCCCCACAGAAGCUAAAAAUUAAAUAAAUCAGUUCCACCUUCAUGUUAGAAAAAGUUUGAUUCAAAUUUUUUUUUUAAAAGUUUAAGCAAUUUGUCAUUUUCGAGUCUAACCAGGUAGGAUUUUCGAGAAUAUCAAUGUAGCAGUAUGUUAAACUAAUUGUGCAUGAACACAUAUGAAAAAGUUGUGAACUCAUACCACUAUGCGGUUGGCUUGAAAAUAAGUGGCAUAUGCCCGUUACAAUAUCGAUAUCUCAAACCCAUUGUGCAGAGAAAGUUAAAACUCAUUAACAAUCACGUAUAAAAUAUCUUUAAAGUGACAUGCCCAUUUGAGUAUAGCAAGAAAUAGAAAUGCUGGGAUCAAACUUAGAUUAUAAACAGUAGAUUUGGAAUAUAUGAAGACCAAGAUGGCCUUGAAAUUAUAAUAUCUACUUGCAACUGAAAUGCAAAUUGGAAGAUUACAAGAGUUGCAUUAGCAUUAACCCUAAAUUAACAACUAAAUCAACAUUACAUUAACUAAGACCUUCAUAACAACCCAAACCACAUUUACCAGAAAAAAAAAAGAUCAGGAAACACCAACCAACAACUUGGGUUUCUAAAGAAUUCAGUUAGCCAUCGCUCUUCUUAUUUUGUCAUCCAUUUACAAGGGCCGGCGGCCUCUCCGUUCGGGGAAAGGGAGCCGUGGCAAGAGAGCGACGGCGGACCAGACUGAUAUUACAUAAACAUCCUUCAACUCCUACUUUCUUGUCAUACUUUUUUUACAUCAUUAACAAAGAUACAAAAAGAAAACAAUUGAUCGGACAUCUAGACGAGAAGGCAAGUCUCGGGCUGUUUGAGCUGUUGUUUGGCUUGCUGCUGGGACCAGUACGCAUGAGCUGUUAGGACCCUGUCCAAGAGCUCCUGCGGGACGGGCUCUCCCCGCCUCUGUUGAGGAGAUAUUCUCGCCGUGUGCACUAGGGUUUUCCACUUAUCCUACACAACCCGUAAAAACGACACAAUCAUAACCAAACCCACAUCACAUCCCUCACUUUUUAAGCAGUUUUCAAACAGAAAACAAAAAAGCACAGCAGCAAAAGUAUUUAACAGACAAAGUUAGAUUUAGGAGAUGCGUGUAAGUUCAGAAUAUAAGAGAUUCCCUCACAGUUGUAUUCAACAGGUAAAGUUAUGCAGAUUAACAAAGCUACAAAGACUGCCUAAUCAUUGCCUCUAAUUCAAGCAAGCUGUUUGACAGACUGACCAGAUCAAACUAAGUACCUCGAGCGGGCCCAAGCCGCAGAAAAGGACUCAUAAAUUAGUAAAAUAUAAUGGUGAGGAAGCAAUCAUAAGCCAUGUGAAAGUAACACAUGAUAUGAAAUUUAAAUUUGAAAUCUUUUACCGGGGACUCAAUUAGGUAACCAGAAAAGAUUAAAAGAAACAAUGUUCGUGCUCAAAACUUUAUCAUUGGCAAACAGACUCCUUACCUUUAAAUCCACAUAUGUUCGAUGCUUAGCGUUGUCAAAAGCUCGUAGUUUAACAUCACGCCACCUGUAAAUAAGCAAAACCAUUAAAACUCCACACUGCAGCAGAAGGGACUGUUUUCUAUUGAAAGCUCACAGUUUACUCUUUUAAGCAAAACCAUUAAAACUCCACACCACAGCAAAAUUUUACUAAGUCAAGCUGGACAAAAUCAAAACUUAUGCUCGUAAAUCAUUUAUACCUUCCGGUACCAAGUUUCUCAACCGCUUGGACAAGUGCUUCCACUUCUGUAACAGAGAAAGGUCGACGAAUUCGGCGCUGUCCAAUAUCAAACCGCCUUGAUUUCCUGUUCCCAGGAACCACAGCCAAUGCAUCCAUACUCAGAUCUGGAACAGCAACCAGUGCUUUAGAAUCUGUUGUGCUUUUUUCAGCUGACAUAUCAGUUGGAGAGGGUGCUGAAUCAUGAUCACUUUCAAUGUAGCUCCCAAAACUGGCCAUAUGAGGUUCAGGUAGGGGUUCACCAGUAGGACCCGGUUGGUACCUGGUGCAAAAUCAUUAUUAGCUAAAUAGCAACUAAAUUUCUAGUCUUGGUCUGAAAGCAAUCCUACGAAAUCCUACAAGAUUGAGAUUGCAUAGCACUAGACCAGACUAAUAUGUACAACCUGACUGCUAAGUUGCUAACGUUGUAAAAAAGUUUCAGAAUCACCCUAGCAUUCAAUUGGAAAAAGAGAAAAAUGAACACGAAAAGAAGCACCACCAUCUGUAAUGAAUUAGUACGCAAGGGAAGAAAUAAAAAACUGAACGAGGUGCAAAACUGACGAGGCCAGAGCAUAUUUGCAUUACCUUGUUAAAGGCUUUACUUCAUCACAGGGAAGCAUACUUGGAGAACCAUCAGAACAUAAAGGUAGAGGGGUUCGGGAAGGGUUGGGUUCCAAGGAAAAUCCCACAGAAUCUAGAUGGUCAUCUUGAGAAAUUCCUGUUUGCAGUAAAGUUUUGUUGUCAUCUCUCACUUUCUUUCCUUGAAGAAGUACACCAACACAUAAUCCACCACCAAGUACAGCUGUCACUGCUUCCAUAACUGUUUUCUGCAGAAUGAUCGCACAUCAUGAGGACCCGAACUAACACCAUGAGAAAGUGCGGUAUGUCUCUCAUAUAAACAAAUCCAGUAUACUACAUAGCUAAACUAGAGGGAGAUGCACAAUCAAAAUAGUCCUGAAAUACCUUUAAUGAACCAACAGUUGCUGUCUCCGGAAUCUCAAUAAAUAGCUCUGGAACCCUAAACGACUUGAUCCUGAGCUUCACUGAAUAAGGGAAAAAUCACCUUCUUGUAAAAAUCUCUUGGAAUGUAAGACACGAAUCAAAUUAAAAGUGUACAUAUCAAGCGCUCAUGAAAUUUUUUUUGUACCAUGCGAAUUCCUUGAUUGGAAAGAUGAGUGCUGACCUCCUACCGAAGAAGACAUCCCAGUGGCUGCAUAAAUAUUUCAUACUACUUGGUAAAAAAAACUCAUACAUUCCAAAACACAUCAAGAUAAUCACAUUGAUUGAAUAGAAUCUGAUUUUGAAAAUGACCUUGCAUCUUUGAACACGAAGCAGAAGCAUUUACAUUGGUUCCCUUCCCCCGCAAGUCAAAGAAUCCCUCUCUACUAAUACCUUGAUCAGGAUUUGGAACUGUGCUACGGUCAAAAAGCCUCCUUUUCUUGAAAGGCAUAUUCAUUUGAGAUCUUUGACGUUUGUAGCAAUUCUUCCUGUUGUGGUAAUUUGGUUUCAUAUCCCGAUCUAAAGAUUCAGAAAAAGAUAAUAAUUGAUAUUAGAAAACAGUUUAGCGAAACCACACAGCAUUGCUACUAAAACUUUGAAAGGAAGCUCGAGAAACUCACAAAUUCUUUUAGUACGAGGCAGCCACUUACAGGAAUUAGAAUGUGUCUCAUCCUUCGACUUUGGAGCUACUUUCCAAUAUUUCGAAGCCAAUAUUUUCCGUAUUCUUCGGUCUCCAAUACGCGACGGCGCUGGCCUUGAAUACUUCAUGGCUGUACUAGGGUGAGUACACCCAAAGAAAUUUUCGUCAUCAUCUCUACCAACUAAUUUUACAUCAUCCCGGCUAGCGGGGAAAGAUCUCUGAGGAAUAUGAUCUACAUACAUAGGCACCUUGGUGCUACUAUCUGAACUAACUAGCGGAGGAGGUUCACCUUCCCAGACAACCGGAUCCUGAAAACUGCACAUAUCAGGCCCGUUACCAGUAACCACCUCCCCACUCUUAUUAGUCUCAUCCUUUACUAAUAUUUUAACUUUAUUAUCUAAUUUACAUUCACCAGACUCCCUGUUCCCAGAAUAGCCUGCUUCUAUUUUCCCAGUAAGACUUCCCAAUUCAUUCUUGCAUUUUCCACUCGCCAACAUGUCAGAAACAAACCUCUCCGAGCCAUUAGAAGUUGUCAUAACCGAAUGACUUUCAUUCUGAUGAACUGGAGAAGCCUUGGAGCACGAACUUAGAUUCUGACCUGUUGACAUAUGAUCAGAUACCAAAGGUAUCCUAUCACAACUGCCUCGAUCACAAGGUUCCACUUUCAAGGUUUUAUCUCCAGCCAGAUAAUUCUCCUUAAUACCUGCACAUUGAACUUUUCCGAUUGAUGUAUGACUGGAAGCGGGAGAACUCUCUCCCUCGAGCAAUAACUUGCCAGCUACAGUGGCCAACAAGUCAAAUGCACCCAUUGCAUUGUCUUCAACCAUCUUUCUAACUGCACGCCGCUUCUGAAAAAUCGUUAUCAAAAUUAAGCAUAUGGAUUAAUUUGAUAAAACAUUAAGCAUAUAGAUCAUAAACGUAAAAUGUAAAUCAUAAAGAGUCGUUGGAUACACGUACCCUUGCUGAUCUAUAAGCUUUAGGAGUGACAGGCACCUGAUAGCCAUUGAAUCCGUAAUCCAACCUCUUCUGCAUCACCAUAUCUUAAAAAUCAUACCACGAAAAUUUACAUCAACUACAAAGAACCCGGACUCAGAUUAGUCCUUUCAACUAAUAUACACGACCACCACCAAUGAGAAUCCAAAAGCUACGUCCUGAAAACAGAGAUGAAUGCAAGCAAUCAGUUUCGCAGAAAAUAAAAUCUAAUUGUUCGGAUCACAGAAAAUGAUCUCGCAUAAUUCACUCUAUCACGCAACAUUUAAUCGACGAGUAUAUCAAUAGAAUUCCGGGAGAUAUUCGGAACAUUAUUACCCAAAUUCGAUUGCAUCUGAGCAUACAAAAACUCCAAAAACGUACAAGGAUAUAUCAAAUUACAACCUAGAAGCAUAAGUUCAUGUCCGAAACUCUGAUCAGAUCCACACGAUCUGACUGAAAAAACAUAGACAUAGCAACCCAGGAAGAACAAGAAACAAUAAGGGGAAAAAACUAAUUAACAUAAAAAAACAGAGACUAGGUAACAGGUUAAUAAACCUUAAAUAUACCAGGAAACAACAAAUGACAAUCGAACCCAUCAAAUAAAAUCCUCAACAGUUCCUGUCAGGAGAACCAAAAAUUCGCCAUUUUUGACGGAGUAAAUGAGAAGCGGGAAAAAGAAAGAAAAAAAUGAAUAAAAACAAAAGUCCUUAAACCACUGCAAAACCCAAAAGACAGAUCUAAAUUCAAAAUCCAGCCAACAAAAGGGAAAUUUCUGAAAAAUUGGGACAAUUUAAUUCCCUUAAUCCUCAGGGAAUUAUCCAAAAUCUGAAGGAAAAAAAUAAAGAGGUCUAAAACCCUCGGCCGAGAUCGACCUUGAAGAACACACAAUUCAGAUUGGGUCUCCAUAACAGACAAAAACGAACAGAGAAUCUUCAUUUCUCGAAUUUCAGGGAGAAAUUUGAGAUUUUUUAACUAAAAUUGGGAUGGAAAUUAUGAAUUCCCACCGGAAAACUCAGAUCGAAUCCAUCAAACCCAAUUGGAAGCAAAUCAGAUCGUCCACAAAAAUCAACGACAAAAAAAAUCAUUUUUUAAGACCUCGUUUGUUUGCUCAGAAUUUCAUAGCGGAAAAUCCCAUAAUUUCGAGCCAAAAAAAAUAUUCUGGGUCGAAUUCCGAGUCAAAAACCAAGCAAUUCUCUCCCCUUUUCCGCACUUUCUCGGCAACCAAACACACUGUUCGGGAAAGGCUCAUCGAAACCGUACAUAAAAAAAUAAAAAUAAAAACGCAAGCUUGAACAAUUUUCGCCAAAAAAAUUACAACAUGCUCACCUCUAGCCAACGAUUGUUCGCUCAAACCUCAAAUCUCUAAGCCCAGAAUCGAAAAAUCUCGAGAAAUUUCAGGCGAAUGUAAGAUCGGGGAAUUGUCGGAGAAAUCAAACCAACAAUGAUACGGAAAUUUACGCUAUUUUCUCACCCAUUUUCUCUCUAUCCCAUAUUUUCCCGGAAAAUCUAGAUUUUUUUCUUCCGGUUCAAAUAACACCCAUUUUUCUCUCUCUAAAACAAACAAAAAAACUGGUCUUUCUCUCUCCCUCUGAUCGCCAAAACCCUCUGAAAACCACCAACCAUUGCUUAAACCCCCGCCUCUUAUACCAUUGACCCCUCUCACCGGACCUAACGGUAAUUCCCACCUAAAGAACCGGCUAUAACAGGUGUGUGGAACCCACCUAAAGGUUCGGUUCUUCGCUAUUGAGUGGACCCACUUUCCAACUGCCAUGUGAUCGUGACACGUGGAGCAUUAUGCUAUCAUGUGGCUGCUUGUGGCCCGCCGGAUCCAUAAAAACCGUCGGGUCACGAAGAAAAUGGGUUUAUGUCGUAAUUUGCUUCUGUGGGAUAAUUUCCAAUUUUCAUUGGGUCACCAAAUAGACGUUGGAGUUAUUUGUGGUUAUCCCACAUGAAAAAUGAACGGAUGGUGUUCGGUUACCAAGAAAAAGAUACAAAAAAAUGAUGUUCAAAAUUUGCAUGAUUCUUCCUUUUGUUAGUUUAUAAUUCAUUUUUCUCCAAAUGGGUUAACUACUUGUUAAAUUUGGGAAUAUUAUGGAAAAAAAAAAUUGUGUGAAAAAGAAUUGUUGUAGUUUCUUCAUCGCUGAUCAUCUCCAAUCCAUAUGUUAAAACUCAAAAUUUUUAGCCAAGAAACAGUUUUUUUGCUCCAACUCUUAUAGAUUAAAAUUUUAGCCCUAGAUUAUUAAAGAAUGAAUUUAAACUAUUUUUUUUCUUGAAGUAAUUUUUUUAAAAGAAAAAAAUUAUGUAGACUAUUCUAAUUAAUUUUAUGAAUAUUUUAACUUAAAAAAAAUUUAGAUUCUGACAAAUAUUGAAAAAUCACUAACUGACACCAUGAAACUCGUGAAACACUAUGAAAAAAAUAUGAAACACAUAAAAUAUUUUCUUCUUAAUUACUUUAGCCGUUGGAUUUAAAUUUGGACCGUUAGAUUUUUUUUUUUACCGUUGGAUUUCAUCAUAUUAGAUCUUAACAAUUGGAUUCAAUGAAUUUAUAAAUAUAAAACCAAAAAAAAUAUACAUAUAUGGUGGACUAGCUCCAUUAACUCUAAGGGAAUCUUGGGCUAAAUUUGGCCAAGAAAUGGAAAAAAUUUUAGUUGUGACGGAAACACGGAUGAUACACCACGUGUUUUUAUGUAAAUGAUGGAAAAUUUUAAUUUUUAAGCUAUUAACCUUUUAACACACAUAUCCCAUCAUUUAUAUAGGGACACGUGGUGUACCACCUCGUGUGACAAUCAUACUAAAAAAUCUAUACCAGAAAUAAGUUUUGAGUUUUAACUCAUAUUUGUCCUAAGUUUGGAGCAAAUUGGAGUAAGUUUUGACCCUAAAAUUUGAGUUCUACUUCAAGAGUUGGAGUAGGUCUUAGGGAGAAGAGUUUAAGCAGUUUAUUAAAGUAUAACUUAAGUAUCAGAAGAUUACGCAAGCAAUGCACCAGUAUCAAAAGAAUUCUCCGAUUGUCAAUGGUUUUUCACUAGCAUCGCACUAGUGUCACUCUCUUUACUGCGUACAAAUGUUUUUUUUUUUUUUGAUUGCGUGAUAUUAGGAGAGAUUUGUACAAAUCAUAUUCAUCUGUUGUUUAACAUCAAGAGAAACUCAAGCUCUCAAUUGGUUUCCUCAAGCAUCACACAAGUGUCGCCCUCCCUUGAGUAAUGUUUUGUUUGAGUGUACAAUGUCCAUUAUUGUUCAUCAAAUGAAAUUAUUCAUUUGUCAAUUGUGUUUUCACAAGCAUUGUACGCGUAUCACUCUCUUACUCAUUAGAUAUGUUUUGUUUAUAGUAUUAAGGGAGAUAUUUAAUUGUUACAAAUCAUGUUCAAUGACAGAGUCAGAUUUUUAUUUAUGUGAAGGCGUAAAAAACUAUGUCAAUUUACUUUUAGAACAUUAAACAAAGUUCAAUGGUUGUCAAAUGCCGCUGCUACUACAAAUCUAUGCUAGUGUGAACCUCAAGCUAACAUUUCCUGUUUUUGUAAGCUCAAUCUGAUCGAGAGUGAAAUUGUUCCAAGCAAGUAAAUACGUAAGUACCAAAUUACUUUCAGAAUAGGUUAAGAGUUUAAUUUUUCUUAAUGUAAUGGAAGAAAUAAACCUUUUUAUAAUAUAGAAAAGAUAUUCUCAUUGUCUAAUAGAUUAUAGCUCAUGUGAAACAUUCAAUAGGAUUAAGUGCCAAAAAUACAUUCAUUAAGGUAAAUAUAGGAAGAAGAAACCACCGUACAAUGAUUCAGUGGGCAUGGACAAAUUUCAAGCGUGUAUUUCAUAGGACGCAUUCUGAUUUCGAUCUAUGACACUGAUAAAUUACGCGAUAAAAGCAGUUAGCCGAUAAAACCAUAAAAUAAUAAAGGUGGGGUAGACCGUAGAGAAGCAGUAGAGAUCCAGCCAUUGAAGUCACCACUAUUUUAUUCCUUGCUUCCUUAUAAUACUAAUCCCUCUCUUUCUCUCUCCUCACGCUCUUUGCUCUCAGAUCUAAAACAUAGUUUUUCUCUAACAUGGAUCCGAUCAUCCAUUGAGGGUGUAUCCGUCAUUUCACGUUACAGUCAAUUGUUAAGCUUGCUUUAAUCCCUGUUUGUACAUUUUUGUCAUAUUCAUCCCAGCAGUUAUCCCGAUAAGCAUGUUGCGUACUUUUUUUCUGCGUUGCCAAAAAAAAUAUUAAUUAAUUGAAAAACAAAAAAAUAGAACUUAGCAAUCAUAAUUUAUAGGAAAACUAACGAAAAAUCUAAAAUAAAUAAUUUUAAUAAAAAAUGAAAAAUAAAAAUGUAUUGAAUAUUACUAAAAAAAUAUAUAUAUAUAAUUUUUCAUUAAAAGUAAACAGUACAUGAGUCUUUCGUUAAAACUUCUAUAAUUUAUUUGAAUUUCGCUUUUGUUUGUGGAUUUAACAGGGGUGGCGUGACGUAAGACGGAGUCCCGAAGCCUACGUGGCGAAAAGGGAGGUCACUGUUGGUCGCUUUUUGGUGAGUGUUAUUAUCUCCACCCGAGAAGGACAGGAGCAUGGUGACGAGUGGGACCCGGAGGAGGAGGUGACGGAGAGGGAUCUCCGUUAGGGAUGACGGACACGUGGCUGGUGAAGAACUAAGAUAGCUAACGGCGUUGACUUGGGGGAUAAGAAGUGGCGGUCAUCGCCCCCCGAUUCAACAGAAGGGAGUUUGAAGUUUUUGACGAUUAAUUAAGAAAAUCGUGCGGAAUGGACGCGUGGCGGGCGAAGAGAGUGGGAUGCCAAGUAACGAAGAAGAACAAGGACACAUAAAGCGCUUCUCCUGUGUUGUACGGGAACGUGGGGCUUAUCGUGAUACAUGGCGUGGAGGGAGUGGCUGGAUUUGGAAGCAUCCUGUGGCGGUGGGAAGUAUGUCAAUGGGAUGAGCAUUUUUGUGGAGAUAAAAAAAAAAAAAAAAAAUUGUUGAUUCUAACACAGCAUAUCAAAGACAUGUGUGUAGCCCUUUAAAAGGUAGAAUUUCAUGUGUACACAGUGGGUGCCCCCAUCUUUUUCCCCCCAAUCUUGCCCUACUCAUCUCACCUUUCAAUGGCAAAGUUAGGAUUUCAUGUGUACAAGAGGGAAAGGUCUCUCACACAAUAUGUAAUUUGAACUCAAAACAUGAGAGAUUGAAGUAAUUUGCAUAGAAAUUAAAAGACCCAAAUUCAACAGAGAGAACUAUUGUACAAAUCUCCAAAAACCUGAAUAUAAGGUAAAGUUUAAGCAAGAAAAAUUUUAAAAUAUAAUUAAGCUAAAGAAAAGUUGAUAGAAUACAGAGGGAAAGUGAAAUUUGCACCGCAAUAAGAGGGAUGGAGAAAAAAAUGAGGCAUGGCCUGGAAUGGAAAAAAGAUUGGAUUGAGAAUACAUAUCAGACUGACAUGCGACAACAACAUGAUCUAUUAGGGUAACAAGAAUAAAAAAAGGCAGGAUAGGUCAAGGACCAUUCUGGUCCCUUUGUGGCUCUACCCAUGCCUUUGUCACCUUAUAAGGCCAUUUCUAACCGAGGGCUGGCCAGAUGGCUCGUUUUAGCCCUCUGGCCCUCCAAGAUUCUCCAAGAUAUUAAUAUUUUAAUGAACAGUACAUGGCCAUAUUUGCCUCCGUCUCCAACCGAGGGCCAAAGGGCCAUAGGGCCAAACAUAAUUUAUUAUUUAAAAACUACAACUAAAAUGUUGUUUAAGUUUCAUGUUGUAUAAUUUUUAUGUUGGUUAAUGUUAUUUAAUGUUGUUUCAUAUUGUUUAAUGUUGUUUCAUGUUACUUGAUUUAAUUUAAUGUUGUAUAAUGGCUUAGGAAGUUAUAGGAAAAAAAUAGAAUUUAAAAAAAAUAUGAAACAAAUUUUGUCAAAUAGAAGUUAUAGGAAAAAAAUGGAAUUUAAAAAAAAAUAUGAAACAAAUUUUGUGAAAUAGAAGUUAUAGGAAAAAAAUGGAAUUUAAAAAACAAUAUGAAAUAAAUUUUGUGAAAUAGAAGUUAUAGGAAAAAAAUGGAAUUUAAAAAAAAUAUGAAAUAAAUUUUGUGAAAUAGAAGUUAUAGGAAAAAAAUGGAAUUUAAAAAAAAAUAUGAAAUAAAUUUUGUGAAAUAGAAGUUAUAGGAAAAAAAUGGAAUUUAAAAAAAAAUAUGAACCAAAUUUUGUGAAAUAGAAGUUAUAGAAAAAAAUAGAAGUUAUAUGAAAAAUUUUGUAAAUAAAAAAAAUAAUAAUAAUGUUAAAAAAAAAUCAAAUCAAAUGCAACGGCUAGUAGCCGUUUCAUUUGAAUUUUUUUUUUUUAAAUCCUGUCGGUUAUAACCGACAUGAAUACACCAUUAUUUAGUAUAUUAAAUAAUAGCAUGUAUUCUUGUCGGUUAUAACCGACAAGAAUAACAAAACUAUAUAUAAAAAAAUAGCCAGCCAUCCCUUUGGCCCUUUGGCCCUUUGAAAUUCCGUGGGGCCUUCCUAGAUUCUCGAGCCCUCUGGCCUAGUCCUCGGUUGGAGACGGUUUUAGGGCUAUUUUCGGCCCUCUGGCCCUCUGGACCUUUUGGUUGGAGAUGGCCUAACCAACCAGGCCAAAGGGCCAUAGACAAAAAAAUAGCCUGUUUUGACAUGAAAAUUGUCUCCAACCAAGGGCUAGUGGGCCCCACCUGGCGAAAAAUUGGAGAAUCGGCCAAAAGGCUGACCAAGAGCAGCCAGCCAUAUAACCCAGCCCAAACAUAUGCUACCUGACAUCAUGCUGACAUCAGGUUAUUGUUGGAUUUGACUUUUUUUUUUACGAAAUUUAAAAAAAAAAACUACCUAAGCCAUUUCAACCCCAUUUCUCACUUCCUUUUCACCAAUUCAUACUCUCUUACCUAAUUUUAUUUCAAUUAUUCACCAAUUUUUCACAUCCUUUUCAUUAUAUAAAGAUAAGAAAUCUGGAAGCUUAUUAAUUUAGCAACAAGUGACACUCAAAAUACGUCUAAAAACCUUAUUUUAAUAUAGUAGUUUAAUUAAAUUAACCAUAUCAAUUCAAUUAAAAUAAUAAAUUAUUGAGGGGGCUAAAAAAUAGCCCCCUUUAGUUGGAGAUGGAUUUGUUUUGUCAAGAGCUAUAUUUUGGCCUAUGGUCUUUUAGCACCCUCGGUUGGAGAUGAUAUAAAAUAUGGUAUGACACUAUUUAUUAAAAAAAUAAUUUCUUGUAGAACUAUAGGGCUAAACAUGACCCUUUGGUCUCUUUAGGUUGAAGAUGGCCUAACCCCCCCAACCCUACCCUCCCCUCCCCUCCCCCCCCCCCCCCCCCCCACCCCACCCUACCCUCCCGUCUCAUCUGGCCGGCUUCCUCCGUCAUUAUCUACCAGAGAUAGUAGUGCACAGAGAUAACAAAUAGGUUAAGGUGGGAAAUUAAGCAUUGGAGAGGUCAUGCAAAGGAAUGUAGGGUUUGAAAAUAGAAUGUUGGGGGUGUGAGUUACCCAAAAAGGAAAAUAAAUUUUGAAAUUGUGUUUGUCCUUAUUAGUUGUGUAGAUAGAUACUCCAAAUUGCAAAAGACAAAGUGUGCACAAGAUGGGAAUGCAAAGUGCAAAUGGAACCAUGGUGUGAAAGAUAUGUGGAAUGGGGGACCUUAUACAAGUCCUACAUAUGUUAAUCUUCCUCUAAUGACCUUGAGCAUACAAGCUACAUGUUACUACAAUACAAUUAGAGCAUCUCCAAUCUGAGUCCAUAUCAGACGUAUAACACAUACAUUUUCUAUUAGUUGGAAAGUUCUUUGAUGAGAAAUUAUAAAGGGAUAUAAAAUACUCAUAUUGGGAAGAAAACGUAAAUAUAUAUACAUCCUUUUUAUCAUCUCUAGUAGAGAACAAAUAAUAAUUUACAUUUCCCUCAUUGCAGCAAAAAUUACAUUUACGUCCACCAUAAAUGUACGUAAACAUAAUUUUAACAUCUUAAAUUUCGUAUCUUCAGUGAGAAUACUUGAUCUUAUUAGAUCGACUAUAUAUUAUUUUUCCUGUUAAAAAUGUAAAUCUCACAUCGGUAAGUAAACUAAUAAGGGGGGUUUAAAACUUUACAUUAAAUUAAAAGAUAGGGGUGUGCAAUCCACACACCCCUUUUUACUUCUCACACACCUCUUGUUGAUUUUUGUCCUUUGAUAUUUUUCAAUUCAUCUGAUCCGACGGCCAAAAAUUAAAAGGGUGUGUAAGAAGUAAAAAGGAGUGUGUGUAUAUCACAUCCCAAAAGAUAUUAAGCCUCUACAUCCAUUUCGAAUUCAUUUUGAGUUGAAUGGAUACACACACACACACACAUAUAUAUAUAUAUUCAUUUUAAAAUUCUUUAUUUGAUUUGAUUUUGUGCCACCAAACUGUGAAACAUCCCACAUCGAUCAUAUCUCUAAAAAAAAAGAAGAAUUUAAAUAUUUCAACCCACACACACACACACACACACACACACACACACACACACACACACACACACAUAUAUAUUCAUUUUAAAAUUCUUUAUCUGAUUUUGUGCCACCAAACUGCGAAACAUCCCAAAUCGAUCAUAUCUCUGAAAAAAAGAAGAGUUUAAAUAUUUCAACCCACUCCAACUAAUACCGAAAACUUUUAUGAUAAUACCGCACACUUGUCAGACUAUGCAAGUGGUAGUUAACAAGUUAGAGACAAUAUCCGUAUUGUUAGAAGUGAUGACCUUUAACUUGUCUCUCUGAUAAUCCUACACAAACUCUCAUGAAACUUAAAUCUCCUAAAACUAAAAGUGAAAACACGUGCCCUAAAAAGGGUUAUUAAAAUGUCAAUGAACUUCAUUAAAAAAAACUUGUCAAUGAACUUGAACAAUAUGUUCAUAAAAAAAUUAAUUGAUGAUCAAGAUGAACUCAAAAAAGUUCAAAUGAUCAAGAUGAAAACCAAGUCAAGCAGCAUGCAUGGACAUAGUCGAGACGUGCACGUACAAGAUCCAAAGCUUAAACACUUAAUUCACAUGUAAUAUGUAAAUUGAUGUUUAUUGACUAGUCCACAGCUUAGAGGACCAAUACAAAGGGAUCCAGCUUAUUCUAAUUCUGCCAAAUCAGGGAUCAAGAUAUGCUUUUCACUUCUAAUUAGUAAUCAACGUUGGUUUUUAUUGUAUGAUCAUGACGUUUUGUUGAAUGUCAACUACUUCAUAAUCCACCAAAUUUGUAUGCAGUUAAGUAACGAAAUAAACAAGUAAAGACAAUUGACUUCUCUUAUUUCUGUCCAACUUGAUAUUUUUGGUUUUUUACUACGCACGGGAGUUUUAUACUCUUUGAUUCUUUGGAUAUUUGAUCACAAAAAUAACAUAUUAACCCUCCAAUCGGAUAUUGAAAAAAGAAGUCACAAAACAAAUAGUUUUAUUUGACAGCCUAACGCAAUAGAACUAACUAUAAUCUAAAUUGAUAGUCUAACAUAACAGAACAUACUAUCAGAGAAUAUAACAUUUCUUAUCGAGCAACACUUUUCCUAUUAUUCAUGCAUAAUUAUUUCAUCCAUUAAUUAAUAUCAAGGCAUAAUUAGUUAUCUAAUUAUUGUAUAUGUUAUACAUCUUUUUUUUUUUUUUUGGCUGUAAAAUUAAUCGUUUAGAUCUGGUAGAACUGGAAAGUAGCUAGAUUUGAAUACAGGUAUUCGGUUGAAAGAGUGAGAUAAUGAAAUGCACAUGAUGGAUGUAGAAUGCACAUGUCAAAGUAAGACGGUUUAGCCUUUGGCUGCUUGCAAAGCUGGCCCACGCAUACAUGAGAGAGAGAGAGAGAGAGAGAGAGAGAGAGAGAGAGAGAGAGAGAGAGAGGGUUUAGGUUUGGCUGCUUGCCAAGCUGGCCCAUGCAUGCAUGAGAGAAAGAGAGAAAGAGAGAGAGAGAGAGAUGUCUGCAAUUGCAUUCCCUUUGAAUAAGGCAAAAAAUGCAGCCCCAAGAAAGCUGGAAAAAGUGCAUGCAGAUAACGAUUUGUAGUUUUAUUAGGAUAAAAUCUGGGAAAAGCAAAUAAAUGUGUGAUUCCAAUUAAAUUGAAUUAAAAUGAUAAAUCAGAAGGAAAAUAGCGUUGGGAGGUUUUGAAGCGUAUGGUUAUGGUAUGAUCGGUUGCUGGUAGGCCUUUAGAAUUAAGAUUAUGCCUUCAUUUGUUCUCAGCCUUGUUCAACUGCCAGCUGAUCAUCUCAUCUUGAUCUUACCCAUUCGGAUUUGGAAUUUCCAAUACUAAUAGGGACCACAAGCUGCCUGUCGGUUUCUGCCAAUGACUUUGGAAUCUUCUCUUGGUUGGCUAUAUUGGAGAGCAAUUACAAAGAAUAAGUCCACCGUUAUCGUGACAUAUCAGCUUAAUAAUAUUACGUUUAAAUGUGCGUAAAACAAAAUAUAAUAACUAAAUAAAUGUUUGAAGUAUUUAUAGCAUGGGUGAAUGAGUUUUUGACAUCGUGACAGUUCAACAACUUGAUCUUUCGGUAUCAGGUUUAUGUCAUAAUUUACGUGUAUGAGCUAUACUAAGGCACAAUACUUCAAGUACCUGGCCGAUCGUAAACUCUUAACUCAUGUAGACUCUAUUGAAACUCAAGAUUCAUCGACAAUUAUAUUAGUUUACUUGUAUAUAAGCAACUCAUGCUAGUCAUUUUUAUGCUUGAACAACUAAUCAUUUUUCCACUUGAACAAUGACAAUAAAAUAUAAAGCACAAAAGAGUACAAAACACACAAAAUUAAUAUAUAUCAUCAUCAAUGUUUUAUGCAAAUAGGAAAAGAAAAGUGUUCCAUUCCAUUCUUUUAAUUUAAAGCGAAAGUUUGGAGGAUUGAAGUUAAAUUGAAGUUCACGUAAGAUGAAGGGUUUCUUGACGUAAAAGGGAACGUCAGAUCUCAUUCAUUUGUUGAGAGGUGGGAGGGGUAAUGGUUGGAAGUGGCGGUUGAGAAACUCUGCGCUCCCUGCAGCUUUCUGUUACGUGGAGCCUUUCAACACAGACUUUGUAACCCAACAACAAGAAUAUUAUUAACCACGGAAUAGUUCAAUAGUUGGAGACGAAUUUGACGUCUGUGUUUUAUUCGUCUUAGGUUUGGUUCCUAGCAUUUGUGACUCACACAAUAGUGGACAUGGGAGGUUGUAAUGCUUCUGAGAAUUUUCCCAGCAUUUGGAAUUUUAGAUUGUCGUAGCGAAGCCACCAACUGAUUCAUUUUAAAGAAAAAAAAAUUAUUGGACAUUAUGUUAUCUUAAUUUUAUUUAUAGAAAAAACAUAGUAAGUGUCAUUUUUUUUUAACAAUAAAUUAUAUCUACACUAAGGAGGGAGGGGGAGGACUUAGCCUCAUAAUCGGCUAGCAAUAAUGUGGUUCAAAUUCGCCUUUGGUGAGAAUCGAACCUAAAAUCUCUUAUUGACAAGUAAAUAAGGAUACCACUAAACCGUUGCACUAAGUCGCAAUUAAUAAAUGUUAAUUAUUAUUGUUUUUUUUCUUCUUAUAAAUUAGAAUCAAGUGGCAGGAGAUUCUUAUUCGUUUGGGUUGGGAUUAGAUUACACGCUACUUACAACUGUUUUAUUAAUCUCAUCAUAGUUGACUUCACCUUAAUUUUUUUUUUUGUUGGGAAGAAAAUUGUGGGUAAAAUUGAUAUAUGCCAUGUCAUUAUUCAGAUACGGUGGCUCGCUCACCCAUUCAACAAUUAAUUCGUUCUCUCAUUGAAAAAUCAAAACACAAGUCAUUUUUUUAUAUUUUAUAAAAAAAAAGUUAUAAAAUUCGUUGGAAAGUACUUUUAAAAUAAAUAUUUUUAAUUUUUAAUUUUUUUUUAAUUAUUGCACGCUCUACUCAGGCAACCGCGUAUGUCGACUAAAGAAACCAAAGAAGCAGAAAAGAAAAGAAACUCUUGGCCAAAGAGCACAUGGUUAAUGAGCUUUCUUAUUUAGCCUGUAAAAUAGUCUGAGAGGUAAUUUUCAAUUCCAACCAAGCAUGGCAUAAUUGACUAUGAUAUGUCAUUGACCCAUGACCUAAUCCUAUCCAGGUAAAGAGGAAGAAGAUUGGAACAAUAUUCAAACUAUUUAUUUUCUUUUUCUUUUUUAUUUAUUUAAUUAUAUCUCCAAAAUAAUUCCCAAUAAUUAUUCCCACCCACAUUCGAGAUGAAGAACCUAUUCGGAUUUUAUAGGUUUGCAUGGUGCAAUGCAAGACCCCAAGUUGCCUAAGGGAUUAUCAUGUUGAACUUUUAAUUUUAUGGACAUUAAGAUGAUGCUAAAAUUAUUUAUUUAAAGUUUUGCAACACUUUGUCACUUAGUAUUACAGUUUAGUAAAUUUCUUUUUAUUUCUCAGUGAGAUGCCUCAAGUUCGAAUGUUGAAAAUUGCGAGUUGGCAACUAAUUUAUUUCCCCACUCUUCUUAGAGUGUGUGUGUGUGUGUGUAUCGUUGUGAGUGUAAAUAUAUAGUUGUAUAUAUAUAAAAUUAAAAAAAUUGCAAGACUUAUGACCACUAUUGUCCACGGAAAAGUGGGUGACGGCCAUUGUGAACUAUUGAUCGAUCGAAAAAACUAUUGUGUAUAAUCUGACAUGAUAAGCUGAUGUGAUUUUAUCAAUUUACUCAAAUUACAACACGUAAUCACCAAACAUCUUUAUACAAAGUGUAUAACAUUAAUAUUGCAUGGUAAGCUAACGUGAUAUUAUCAAUUUAUAUACUUCGAUUAUAACACGUGGUGGACAACAUCCUUAUACCAAGCAUAUAAUAUUAAUAAACAAACACAUGCUAUAACUUGAAUUAAAUGGUAAAUAUCUCAAUGGAACUAAUAAUAUAAUAGACACCCUAGAUACUCAUAUUAAUAGUGUUUUAGACUGUCUUUAAUGCAUGAGAAAUACUCUCGUAUAAUCGGCGACGACACAUGACAAACAUCUAUUUGAUAAUACUCUCUGAAUACAUAGUGUGCAUUCAUUGGACCUGUGACGCCACUAAAACUUGCAUUGGUUUCAAGAUCAUCUAAUGUAAUAACCAGAUUGUCAUAUUUGAGUACACAAAUGGAGGCCUUUAUUAGGCAACUAUUAGAAUUUAGUUGGACACAUAAACCAAACAAGCAAGUAAAGUGCAAGUGCCUUCAAAUGUUGGGGUAGGACUCUUUGGGGUAGGACUUGGGAGUCGUAGGACCACCACUCUUUGUCUAUUACAUUUCUUUUGUAAUUCAAUUGUUUUAGGAAGAUACCAUUUUUCGGUCAUUUGAAGUUUUAAAUGCAAAGGGCGGAAAAGCUGUUGUUGAUGGAACCGUCAAAUUUGUUAAAUUGGAAGGGACACAAAAUUUGAGAAUCUCUUCACCAGGGUCCAUAAAUGAUGGGGACAUCACUAUAUUAAGACCCAUGGGCCCUUGAUUUGAAAUGAAUGUAGGGGCCAUGAUAACAUGGGCCCAAGGUGCCAUUGUGGUAUUUGAGUUUCAAAUGUAAACCAUGGUUUUUCCAAGCCAAGAGGAAGGAAUGCACAAAGAAAUUUGUGUUGGGUUGUCUUAUUAAGACGACUUUCACACAGAAGAGCAAUUAACAUAGAACAGGUUCACCGUUGCAUGGUUUUCUAGUCCAAUAAUAUAAUAUCAUGUGAAGAGAAACUUACACAUAACAUUGCAUUAUUGAACUAGAACACGCCAUAACAGCAAUGAACCCUUUCGUGUAAGUCCUACACCGAGUGUGAUCAUCGCAAGCUUGGGUGAGAACAAAAUACUUGAGGAAUACCCUACGAACUUUGGUGGAAUGACUUGGGUAGGAGGCACGACCACGUCAUACAUAAAGUACUUCUCAUAGAACAUGAGAUUCCAUGUGACACCACACCUCACACUGGUCUGGUUCGGUGUGAGAGCUGUCCUACUAAAUCAUAGAAGACAACCAAAAUGAAUUCGAUUAUAUUGGUCCUAAAUUGAAGGAUUAUUUUCCUUUGUUCUAUUCACUAUGAUCCAUAUUUCACAAAACAUGAAAACGAAGGUUUCAAAUUUUAAGUAACCAUACAUCACCCCCUUAGAAGAGCAUAUAGAGAACUAAGAGAAGGGGAAACAAAACCAAAAGGGAAAAAAAAAUAUUCAUAUUUUUGUACAGUAAACUAGUGUAUUUCUUAUCCCAACUCGGGUGUCCGUAAAGCGAUAUACAUCAAUGAAGAAAGAAGAAGAAACAUGGUCCAUGUCUAGAAGGGAAGGGUGAAACCACCACCCAGUAAGAAGACAUGACACCAACUCUUUCUCGAGGCUCAGAGCAGUGAUGUUGCUCCGUGCACAUAGCUGUUUCUACCGCACGUCAGAAGACCUGGCAAUGCAUCACCGCGAUAUCAUAACAUUUACCAGAGACCCAUGUAACCUUUUCCAUGUCUUUGCUUCUCUCUUUUGUAGACUACAAGAUCUUGGUAACAAACAGGAAAAAAAUUGGGGAGAGGGGGAAGGAACAAAGAAGAGCAAGGAUCAACCGGAAAAGAAUUAUGGAACGGGAUACAACAAUGUACACAUGCCAACAGAAGACAGACUGCUUCUACAAGCGAAAAAGUUCCAGAACUAGCAGCAAAAUCCAAUAAGCUAACACGAAGGUGGGUAUACCUCAUUCGGCAGACAGGUUACCAUACUGCCAUGGGUUGAAUUCAAUUGAUGUAACAUCAACUGCAUCAAUCGAGUCAGAGCUAUCAAUUGCGGCUCGGUGUUCAGUGUAUUUAUUGUUAUAUUGAUAGACUUCCAAGUCACCCCAAGGUGUAGGUGUAACUUCCUCAGUCAAGUCAAACCAUUUUGGUGUAAACUGAUCAUGCUUAGCUUCUCGUUCUCUCUUUUCAGCUCUCUGCCUCUCCUCCAAUCUGAAAGAAAAAUAAGGUAACAAAGGGACAGUCAGCUUUUUGGGGGAACAUAGACUCAAUGUAUACAUGAUGACCGGUUAUGUUAAACUGAAACAUUCAAAUGAUGGAAGCCCAUUAAAAAGACCAUCACCAUCU